rnacentral:rRNA from 1 species
UACGUGGGGGCAAGCGUUGUCCGGAUUUAUUGGGCGUAAAGAGCGUGUAGGCGGCCAGGUAGGUCUGCUGUGAAAACUCGAGGCUUAACCUCGAGCUGUCGGCGGAAACCAUCUGGCUAGAGUCCGGAAGAGGAGAAUGGAAUUCCCGGUGUAGCGGUGAAAUGCGCAGAUAUCGGGAAGAACACCCGUGGCGAAGGCGGUUCUCUGGGACGGUACUGACGCUGAGACGCGAAAGCGUGGGGAGCGAACAGG